rnacentral:rRNA from 1 species
UACGUAGGGCGCAAGCGUUGUCCGGAAUUAUUGGGCGUAAAGAGCUCGUAGGCGGUUUGUCGCGUCUGCUGUGAAAUUUCGGGGCUCAACCCCGAACUUGCAGUGGGUACGGGCAGACUAGAGUGUGGUAGGGGAGACUGGAAUUCCUGGUGUAGCGGUGAAAUGCGCAGAUAUCAGGAGGAACACCGAUGGCGAAGGCAGGUCUCUGGGCCAUAACUGACGCUGAGAAGCGAAAGCAUGGGGAGCGAACAGG